UGGGGCCCCAGUCUCCCCCAGAUUGGAGCUUCGGCGUUGCAGACCUGGACUUUUCUCCUAGACUUACAUCAUACAAUCUCUUUAAAAAAAUCACAUUGUUUUUACUUUGGACUUAUCUUCCUUCCAAUUUAGAGCCAAUCACAGAGCACAGAGUUUGGUCAAGAGCAGCUACUUUCGAUGCCAAAUGGGAGACAGAACAUAAAUCAAAAAGUUAACAUUGAGAGGUUUCUGAGGCUCCUGGAGAAGGGCCAAGCUUAAAAGUGACCUAGGAAGUUUGGCCGGGAAUGGAAAACAAGAAUUACUUUGCUUAAUUUUCAAAGUUCUCAGUUUUAGGGGAAAAGCAGAUGUGUUAAAAGAACACUGGAAAAUGUACUGAAAAAUAAAUUUAACGAUGCAUACCUCGGCUGCACUUUACUCAAAAGCCUCUCCCUUGUGCCUGGCUUGCUACCUUGACCGCAUCCUCAAGAAGUGGGAAUAGGUAAGCGGCAGAAAUGUCUUCCUCGUUCUUCACUCUGAAAGGGAAGCCAGCUCGGGGCUCCUCCCAUGGUCAGCCUGCUUGAGGUCAAGACUGCUUGGGCCCACCAGGACAAGCCACCUGUCUCCGUCCCUACCCCACCUCCCAGUGAAUGACCUGAGUCUUCUGAUUGAAGGUAAAUCGGGGGGUUGUAACUCAAUAUACAAAAAGUAGAUGUAGUCACCGGGAAACUCUGAUUAGCCGCUUGGUUGUAAUUCAUUAGUGCAAUAAUUCAUUAUUCGUUAAUUCAGUCAACCCACUGAUUCCUUGUUCAUUAACUCAAUUAAUUCCUAUAGCUAUCUCUAUCUCCUUUUGGGAAGCCAGCCACUUCCAGCUGUGUAUGUCUACGUUCCUUCGUGUUUCACUUCUGCACGCAUAAUCUCAUGACGCCUCUAUGAUAUUUGAUUUCGAGUUUCCCACUGCAUCAUACCAGCUUCUGGUGCGGACAGAACUUCCCUGACAUCAAAUCACGUGUGUAGGGAUCGGCGUAUGUUUCUUACACAAAGUCACCGUCGAUUCCUCCUUUGUACAAACACCCCCUGGGUAAAAAGAGUAAAUAAAUAUAACCGAGCUGGCUGCUACUGGAGGCAUUUUGCGCCUGACAUCCUAGGUACAUUAGCUUUCUAUCCAGUAAUAAUCCUCUAAAGCUGGGCAUGUCGGAUUGACAGAGUGAAAUUAGGCAGAGGCACGUCUGAACAGGAUUGGGAUAAACUGAGAGGCUACCCCAUGUUUUUCGCCAUAAUUACGGUGCUUUAAGUUGCACGCCGGAUGUCUCGCCAAGUUAUGUGGUGGGAUAGUUAACUUCUCUCUGUUCCCUUGAAAAUAUGAACCCUCUGCAGGGCAUUUUGUAAGUGGGUGCACUUGUUAGAAGAGUCUAGGAUAUGCUGUUGUAACGGCCCCAAAGGCUCUGCUGAUGACCAUCCCUCAGAGACCCAGGUGACCGAGGUUCCUUUAGAUUCUGAUGCUGCCACGGGGACACGAGGCCCACGGCUUUGCCACGGUGAAGGAAGGGGAGAACGGGCAGACUCACAUACCGGCUCUUAAAUGUUUCCAUUCUGCCAGUGCCCCAUACCACUGGUGCUCAUUUCAUAAUUUAAUCGAGCCGCAUGUUUACGUCAAAAUUUCGGGUGAUGGGAAAGGUAUCCGUCCUCUGUGCUGGAACUUCAGGAGGUCGGGAAAUAUUGGUGAACACUAGCAGCAGGCAGGACACGUGUGGGUUGUGGCUGUUCAGCGUCCACACGUCACCGGGCAGGUAACUCAAGCAGGGCCAAAGGGACCCUCUCUCCAGGGUCUCUGAUCCGCUGAGUGCUUGCGCGGGACAAUCCCAAACAACGCUUAUUUAUCCUGCAACACCAAUGAACCAGCUGGAGAUCAAAGUCUCUCCAGGGACCCUCACUCUUGCGUGGAGUUACCAAAGAGCAGAAAAAAGCACUCAUUCAUUCUAGCAGCCUCGCCGUCCAGCCCCCCCGCUACCCCUUGUUGUUCAGCCUGUUUCUUUAGCAUUCCCAUGAACUUUGAGGGCAACCAACGCUCUCCUGAUGUAUUCCUUUUCUGCUUAGCAAGAGUCAGUUUUUGUUACUUGCGCCUAAAAUGUUCCCCAACAGGAAACAAAACCCUUAAGCAAAAUGCCCAGCUGACGUGAUCUGCCGGGUCCUGUAAGAUUUAUCUAUGGGUAUGUGCCGGAAGGGGCAGAGCGGGAAGAACACCUGGUUCGAAGCCACGAAAAUCACUCUGCUCCUCUCUUUGCCAUGUGAACUUGAGCAGACCCAGAAGCUCGUCUGUCAAAUGAAGGUCUGGGACAAGUUUAUCUUCCAAGUCCUUUCUGGCUCCGGUGGACCGCGACUGUGUCAUCUUGGGACCCGCUGAAAUGAGCCCACACCCUGUAUUUUGGUCCCUGAUUGAAACCGAAAACAGGCCCCACACUUUGAUAAAUAACCUGUCAACUCUACGCUUUCAUUUGGAAUCACAUUAGCCUAGGAAACUACGGGUUGCUUAUAUUUUACAUUUCAAAUGCACAGAGGUCCUGGCAUCCAUCUGAGGACCUGCCAUCCACCUGGGGGCUCUGCCUUGGCAGUAAGGGUGGAAUCCCAUCCAAGCGAUCACGCUUGUUACUCAUCUGAUUCCUAUUUAUCGAGGACUACGUCCUUUCAUUAUUUGAGAUCGGUCGGGUCCCUUCAUGUGUGUCUGCUUAGUACCCAGGAGGCAGAAGAACCAGGCAUUUCCAGAAUAUUGUGAUAUAUUAAUGUCAAUAAAAGUAAUGACUUGCAAGACCCUCAGCUCUCUGUCUCUAAGUAGAGGAACGCUAGGAGCUGGGCAGAGAGAAAAAUCCCAAGUAUUUCUCAGCAGGCUGGUGCGCGGAAGAAAAACGAGAUGACUUUCCCUGUGAAUAAGAUUCACCUCUGAUUAAAAUUCUGCCUGGGGAAAAAAAAAAAAAUCUGCCUAGAAUUAAAAAGGUGAUGUACUGAGAUAUGCAUGACUCACUUAAUCAGAAGGGCCUCUCUGUACACAUUAUUCUCCUUGCCUUUAGCCAAAGUUGACUCUCUUGCACGCUUAACGUUAGAAAAAAGGGGUUUUUCAGGAUACCCUGCCCUGGCAAAGUGAGGACAGAGACCAGGAGGCAACAGUGACAUUCUGCAACACAGGAAGGGGCUUCACUGAAUCAAAGAAGACCAUGGUCAAGGGAACCUCGGGGGGCUUUGGUUCCAUAUGCUGUGGUCAGAGGGCAACCUUUGGUGGUGGAUUUUGUUUUUCCUCUCUGCGAGCUACUUGACCGCAAAGGGCUUAGUCUAAGAUCUGGGUCUCUUUGCCCCAGGAAUGAAAAAGCGGUCAUUUUAAAGGGGAUUUCAGUGCAUGUUAAUCUCCCGGUUGAGGUGAGAAGAGGCAGAGAAAGAAAGAAAAGACUCGAGUAGCUGAGCAGAAGAGAGAUUGGUUGCUCCGACAUUCCAGAAGGUUCCAACAAGCCAGGGCCCCUUCCUGUGAAGUCCGAGGCUUUCUGCUGGAAAGCAAAAGGUGCCCAGCAAACGCCCCUGGUAACCAGUCUCAGCCGAGGACAGCAGACAGCGCGCUCUGUCCAGCCAAAGCGCUCGGCAAUUUGAGAGUCUGCUCUUUCUCCAGGCUCUCCAGUGUUUCAAAUGCAGUUUGUCGUUUUACCACAGUGGCAACCUCUCCACUUGCAGCAACUUAAAAGCAGAGGAACCGGCCACGCAAAAUAGGGUGUGCGCUUGCGACCGAAGUCGGAAAUGUGGCUUGACAACGUUUCCGUCUUUUGUGCAAGGCCUCAAUCUCCCCCUCUGCGAGGUUGGAGCUCCUCAGGGCAAGAGAUCGAGCAGAGAUGAACUCUGUCCAGCACCUUCUACUUCCUUCCUUCAGAACGAGACAAGAAACGAGCCAUCUCAAUAGCACUGCCUUUUGAAGACAGGUGAACCAAUUAGGUUUCUGACAGUUUCUAUCUCCCUUUCUACUUCUUCCUCUCAAAAUAAUCACAUCAGGCUUUGAAACCAAAUGUCUAGGAACAGGGACACAGCCUGGCGGAUGUCAAGCGGCUACGGAAAAAGUUUCCAUAAGAAACGCCCACCUGACCAAGGGGAGGAGCAGGGCCCCGAGGCCAAGAUACUAUCUUUAGGAGCCGGUGCUUGAGAUUUCCAGGGAUGCGGCCAUGUCCAGUCCCCUCCUCCCGACCCCCCAAAACAGGGGACAUCGUUGUCACCACAUGUGCCCAGUAGCUAAAAAAACGUGACCUGAGCUCUCCCAGUUCCGGGGAUGAACGAAAGCAACAGUGCCAUAGCACCUCUCUGCCUCGUCCGGUCCCUCCACCCCCUACCCUCGGCCCAGCAGACCUCACCAUUGUCUCCGUGGUGAACUUCCCCGGAAACCAGUGCUGAGGAAGGGCUAUUUUCGUAACACGGGGAUACGACACCUGAGUGAAGGUCGGAGGUGGAUUUUCAGAGCCCAAAGGCCUCGUGCUCGUUAACGGUGCACGGGGCAGCGGUCUAAGAGAGAGAAUCUUGCCAGGGAGUCAGGGACAAGGUCCCAUUUCCCACCAGGACAAAGGGCACAAACCUCGCAGAGAAGGCAAAUACCAACACAUGCGCUGUAAAGAAAAUGGACUUCACCGCCUACAAGAGAGACCUGAGCUCGCUCAGAAAGCACUUCCCAGAGAGAGUCCAGGCAGCCCAAGCGCCGGAAUGGUCUCAUGACCCAACCAUGCACUUGGGAUUGGGAUGGACUGCUGGGAACUUUAAGUGCCCCCGGGACCUGGAGAUCCAGAUUUAGGAGCAAUGCAUGUAGGGUUGAUGACAUACAGCUGCAAAAUAAUACUCUUUGGUUCCUCAUUUGGCUCCAGAUUCCUCACCUACAUACAGUGUGGGUAGUAAUCUCUGACUUACCUAGAAGAUAGCAUAAGGAUCAAGCUAAACACUGCACAGACAAGUAUUUUGCAACACGUACAAAUAUAUGCUUUCACCGCCAUGUGUGCUGCCUGGGUGAAUUAUUUUUACGAAGACCUGGGAAAAGUGGCUCUUGUCAUCUUUGUCCAACGGACGACUCUCGAAGACUGUCCAGCUGUGAGGCAGGGGACUAAUAAUCUGUUCCCUUCGAAGCGAUAUAUCGGUAGCAAAGGACUUGUCGAGACUGAGCUGACGCAAGACUGAAACUGAGCAAAUACGAAACAUCUCGGAGCCUCGAGUUUCCACAUCUGUCAAAUGGUACCAAUAACUCAGCCCUCUCAGGUUUCCAAAGAUUAAAGGAGGUUGUGUAUGUCAACAGCUUUCUCAUGAGGAGAACUUGAGGCAUGUCAAGGCUCUUGUUCCUUUGUUUUGCAUUCAAGCACUGGAAUUAAAAAACGUGAAAGAAUAGACAGUUCGCCCCGGGCCUGAAAUUCUCAAAGAAGGUAUGGGGGCCAAAGAUCUCCCCAGGCAGAAAAUGCAUGUCCCCCAAAGGGAGAAGGCAGGCCUGAUCUAGCUUUGAUCGGGGACCCUGGCUGAGACUCACCAUGGAAGAGUCAUUCUUGGGGUCCACCUGAUUCUCAGUCCAGACCCUGGCCCUUUGGAAUGCCGUCCAUCUCCUAAGGCCAAGUCCUCCCUCCUUUGUGAGAUAGUCUCAGGCCUCCUCGAUUGCAAUCUCCAUGGUUUGACCAGUUCUCCCACCUUUUUAAAAAAUUUUUUUUUUGGUUUCACUAUAAAAUAUACUUGAGAGUU